CCUAGGCUAAGGCUGGUUCAACAUCAAUGCAUUGUCACUUUUUUUCCUGGCCACGCAAUGUAGCCUAUCCAUAAAAUAUGUUUUAAUGACCUGUUUGUCAGAGUGGAAGGGAAUUGAAAAUAUACUGCACAUUCUAAAACAUACACUUAUAUAUGGAACGCCGUUUGAGUCUUAAAGCACGUGGUCAAAACGCAAUCUUUUUAAUUCUACGUGUGUAAAGUAAACAGGUGCAGGCGCUAAAUUAACGCCUACAUGCGUAAAAUAAGCACAUGCAAAUGUGCUUGCAGGCGGUUCAACAAACAGUCCUGCACACGUCAAGUUAACGCCUACAGCUGCUAAAUAUACACCUACAAAUGCUAACUUAACACGUUCUUUAAUAUGCUCAUUUUACUAGCCAAUUUCCCUAGCUCCUCUUUUCAACCAGAUUUCACAGUUUGAAGAAACUUCCUUUUCCACUGCAAGCAGAGUUUGAACCUUUACAAGACCUGAGCCCUAGGACCAUGCCUCAGGACUACCUGGCAUGAUGACUCCUUGCUGUCCCCAGUCCACCUGGCCGUGCUGCUGCUCCAGUUUCAACUGUUCUGCCUGCGGCUAUGGAACCCUGACCUGUUCACCGGACGUGCUACAUGUCCCAGACCUGCUGUUAUCAACUCUCUAGAGACAGCAGGAGCGGUAGAGAUACUCUCAAUGAUCGGCUAUGAAAAGCGAACUGACAUUUACUCUUGAGGUGCUGACUUGUUGCACCCUCGACAACUACUGGGAUUAUUAUUAUUUGACCAUGCUGGUCAUUUAUGAACAUUUGAACAUCUUGGCCAUGUUCUGCUAAAAUCUCCACCCGGCACAGCCAGAAGAGGACUGGCCACCCCUCAUAGCCUGGUUCCUCUCUAGGUUUCUUCCUAGGUUUUGGCCUUUCUAGGGAGUUUUUCCGAGCCACCGUGCUUCUACACCUGCAUUGCUUGCUGUUUGGGGUUUUAGGCUGGGUUUCUGUACAGCACUUUGAGAUAUCAGCUCAUGUAAGAAGGGCUAUAUAAAUAAAUUUGAUUUAUUUAUUGUAACAUUGCACAUAUUGUAACAGUCCCUUGACUAACAUGACUUAACUACUUUGCAUAAUGCUCAGUUUACCCACUAAGAAAUCAUACAUUUAUUAGAGCUGCAUUAUCUAUUAUUGUGUCCAAUUGAUUCUGGUUGGUUGUAAUGUUUUUGAAAACUUUCACUACACAACUUUUAUUGCUGAUAGACAAUCCUGUUGGAAACUUUCAUAAUAUCAAUUAUUUUGGGACACAUCAAUUAACAUUGGCUGCAGUAUUCCGAACUUACUAGGUAGUCAUGCAAUAAACGUUUUGGAUAAUUCCCCUUAAAUUAAUUCUUCAAAUCAAACUGUAUUUGUCACAUGUGCCAAAUACAACAGUGAAAUGCUUACUUACAAGCCCUUAACCAACAAUGCAGUUAAAAAUA
rnacentral:lncRNA from 1 species